rnacentral:rRNA from 1 species
UACGGAGGGUGCAAGCGUUAAUCGGAAUUACUGGGCGUAAAGCGCACGCAGGCGGUCUGUUAAGUCAGAUGUGAAAUCCCCGGGCUUAACCUGGGAACUGCAUUUGAAACUGGCAGGCUUGAGUCUUGUAGAGGGGGGUAGAAUUCCAGGUGUAGCGGUGAAAUGCGUAGAGAUCUGGAGGAAUACCGGUGGCGAAGGCGGCCCCCUGGACAAAGACUGACGCUCACGUGCGAAAGCGUGGGGAGCAAACA